AGGUAAUUGUAAUAACCGCAGGUGCUACUAUGAAUGUCAUGGAAGCCCCAGACAUCAAAGAGACUAGACCACCUGCCAUUAACCUGCAGAAUCAUUAACCUGCACUAAAUUAAGACAGAAAAUUCCUGAGCGAGGUGUUACAUUUCCACCCUGUUUUACUCUGCUGCUGUCCUUCAUCCUAUAUGGCAGGGGAGCAUCCGACUGUUAGAGAUUAAUUAGUAAUUAAGAGUUGGUUCAAAAACAUCGCAAGUUCAGAGAAGAAAGCAACCUAAUCAUGUUAGAAAAUAGUUAGAAAUAUAAACUCCAGUCUCCUGGGAUUUUCUUUUGAGCAGGAAAUUUAAAUAACUUUGUUUUGAACAUACCAAAUUGACCCCACUAACUAGAUGUAAUAAACAAAUGGAGAUAUUUAAGCUGACAUUUGAACAGUGUCAAAGCCUUCUAAGCUUGUUCUGAGUAGAUUAGUAGAUAAGUGCUAGCUUUCCUAUUCUGGGAUAUGUUCCAAGGCAAGUAUGAGGACUGAUGAUUUCAUUUAACUCUAAAGGGGACAACACUGUAUAUUUAAAUAAUGCAAAUAAUUUGCGUAAUUCUUAUGACAAGCUACCAGUUGACACUGAUGGUGUUGGGAUAAAAAACCCUCUCUGCUUGGCACUGUAUCUGAGGGCAAAACCUACAUUUCCUCUACCUACCGUUCAAUCAGUAUGUGAAACCAUAAUUACUAGCAUGGGGUAUGUAGUUUCUCAAAACCACAUAGCAUAUCUCAUCUGAUCUAAUCCCAGAAAAACUGACUUAAUAAAUCUUUUUUGAAACAAGGGAUAUCAUUAGAUGUUUCAAAGACUCAGUAAUAUAUUUGUAGACUUAAGUAAGACAGUGGCAAAUAAAUUCAGAGCCAGCUCCCUGUAUCCCAGCAGUACUGACAAAUCUGAAAGUAUUUUGGUAUGUUGUUGGGAGAAACUUGCCAACUAUUGCUACUCAUUCAGUUUUGCUGUAUCUGUCGGCGAUAACAAGUCCACAGAGCUGCUUUCAAAACAGCUCUUAAAUAUUUGCCCAAAUGCAUCCUUACUCAGCAAAAUACAUGCAGAAGUCUCUAGUAUGUUUAAUGAUUCUGACUUCAAUCCAAUUCCAGUGCUCAACGUUGCUGAGAAGAACCCCUCUAAUAUGAUUACCUUGUAGGGCAUCAAUCUAGGGAAAUCUUCAAAACUGAGCUUAUAAAACAGAACAACACUAGUUCUUGGCCAUCAGGACUGUAAACCUCUAAAUUAAUGAUUGUUCUGUCACUCCAUUCUGUGUGACCUUCCAAAAGGGUGAUUAAUUAAUCCAUGGGUACCUCAUUAGAUCCCUAAAGCUUCAGGAGGCACGCAAGCUUUUCCCAAUGAGGUUGCACACUGGAACUAUUAUAAGCUUUGUACCGCAUUACUUACCUUCCCUUUCCUUAGAAAUGAGGGUUGCCAGUGACUUAUGUAUGAUUAUGCACAUUCAGCAGCAUACUGGCAAGACAGAAUUUGCAUGUGUAACAUACAGCAGGCAGAGCCAUUUGCGUUUGAAAGAAAGAAGAAUUUCUGUAGCAAACCACUUCUUCCAGCUGUGCUUUAGCAGCAAAGAAUAAGCCAGUUGUCUGUAGCCAAAGACACAACGACAAUGAUGGGUUUCCUGCUGUGAAUCCAAUUCAAAUUCUCUGCUGAGGAAAGAACCUUAGCCUGGGGGAGAGUCAGGAUUUCCAGUGCGCUAUCUCUUUGGUUCUUCCUUCUGGCUAGUUUAGACAUACCUCCUGCUCUGUGAGCUGACUGUGAAUCCCAUUCCUACCUGCCUGACUGCAGGCCCGGUACAGAGUGGACAAGUGAGCGACAGAAAUCUGAAAUUAGUGCUGGGAGCCAGACAUUUUAAAAUUACACACUGAUAUGCUGAACUUUGCUUAAGUCUUUGUGGACCCAAGCAUAAGGUCUUUUUAUGUGCCCUUGGCAGUGUUAAGAGAUUUUGUUUACAGAGAUUCGGAGUCUUUACAUUUACAAGUGCUAUUUAAUAGUUGCGUUUGAAUGUAAUUAUUAAAAGGCAUUUGAAGGUAACUAUUAAAAGGCAUUUUAUGGAAUCUAACAAA